rnacentral:tRNA from 1 species
AGGGAUGGCUUUGGCUCAGUGGCAGAGCAUCUGCUUGGCAUGCUGAGGGUCUCAGGUUCAAUCCCCAGCAUCUCCA